GCCGGCGUAGCUCAGUUGGCAGAGCAGGUCAUUCGUAAUGAUCAGGUCGAAGGUUCGACUCCUUUCGCCGGCU
rnacentral:tRNA from 1 species